UUGUUGUACACUGUUUUAUCCAGGCUGUUUGUUGAGGAGCUGAGUCACUGUGCAGAGUCUGGUGCACUCCAGGGCCUACCUGGACACUAUGCCGCUGCAGUCAUCCUGCAUACACUACAGAAAGAUGGUUGGAGGGCAGGCAGACUGAAGGACUGUUCUGAUGUGGUCAAACAACAGGCCCAGAACCUGGCAGGGGAGGAACAGGAGGGAGAGGACAGUGCCAAAAGGAAGCUACUUGAAGAAAUCGCAAACCUCACAGCAAAGAUCCAGCGCUGAUGGUACAAAGGUCUUGUCUGCAGAAUCGUGAUAUUAUUAUUCAAUUAUCAAUAAGUGAGAAGGUCUAUCUUUGGGGAGUUAAUGCUCACAUGUGCCUUAAAUUUGUGUCCUUGGUGUCAAAUUCUUAAGACCAAACUUCAGUGUCCAAGGCUCAGUGAU